rfam:Nematostella vectensis strain CH2 x CH6 NEMVEscaffold_161_Cont16368, whole genome shotgun sequence.
GGGGGUGUAGCUCAGUGGUAGAGCGUCCGCUUCGCAUGCGGGAGGUCCGGGGUUCGAUCCCCCGCAUCUCCA